UCAGAACUAGUCUCUGCCCCUCAGUGUCAGAGUGAGGCAGUGACAGGUGCAGCCAACAACCAAAGGCAGUUCAGUCUUUUUAACACAGUAAAGAAAUUGCUUCUCCAGUUCUGCCAGGGCAUUCCCAGCCAGGCUGUUUUGCUGUUAGAGAUGGGCCCAAGUCAAAUGGAUCUGGAUUUUGAUCCCCUCCUUCAAAAACUUGAGAGGAGAGUGGGGGGUGCUGGGAUCUAGGGUUUUGGUUCAGCCGCAUCUCUAUUUGAUACAGUGAUAACAACAGAGCAGGGCAGUGGGAACCAUCAGCAAAGCAUCUCAUCUUCCAAUAGAAAGCCAGCAGGGGUCUCUUCAGCAGGAGUAGAGUCAGCAGCAGCACCUCCAACAUUCUCUUCUUGGUCACUUUCUAGCUCCAGUCUCAGUUUGGAAUUCAUCCAAUCAUUGAGCAGCUCCUGGGCUACGGUGUUGAAAAAAGAUUGGUGAUACACAAAUCUACCUACUGGCCCAGUUGGAUUUCAUAGGGUCCCUUUAAGCAGCUCUGGGCCGGUGCUAUUCAAACUCACCUUCUGCAUAAGCCUCAUCAUGAUCCUGCAGCUGCUCUACUGUUUCCAGAUCCAUCACAGGACCACGUGGCCUUUGAGGAUAAGCUGACUUUUUAAGGGAAAAAGCUUCAGAAACAGCAAACCUGGAGGCUUGUU